rnacentral:rRNA from 1 species
UACGGGGGGGGCAAGCGUUGCUCGGAAUUACUGGGCGUAAAGGGCUCGUAGGUGGUCAACUAAGUCGGACGUGAAAUCCCUCGGCUUAACCGGGGAACUGCGUCCGAUACUGGUUGGCUUGAGUUUGGGAGAGGGAGGUAGAAUUCCACGUGUAGCGGUGAAAUGCGUAGAUAUGUGGAGGAAUACCGGUGGCGAAGGCGGCCUCCUGGCUUAAUACUGACGCUGAGGUGCGAAAGCGUGGGGAGCAAACAGG